AAAUGACACAGGCAAAAACAGGAGGAAAACCAUGAAAUAGCGAAGCGGAUCAAUGGCUACAGUAGAUAGAAACAUUUAGCUUCCGGUUUUAUUAUAGACAGAUCAGGUAUAUUUCUCCUGUGGAUUGGAUAGAAUAGCUUUGUCUAUCAAGGGAAUGAUUUGAUUGGUGUUUUGGCAAAAUAACUUGCAGAUCAAAACAUAAAUAGAACAAGGUUCUGAGCAAAGAAUGUAAAGGAAGCCAGCGCACAGACCAAAACCUGUGAAGGGAACUAACCAGCUAGGUCAUAUACUCAUUGACCAACCAUGUCAAAGGAAAUAACUACAGCUGUUAGUAUGGGAAUUCUUGGACUUGGUUUAACGUACAUUGGUUAUAAGAUAUUUACCAAGGGCUCAUCUAUAUCAAAACCAAGUUUUAGUUUCAAAAAACAGAAAGUUAAACCUGUCAGACUGCAAAGGAGAGAUAAACGUAUGGACAAGGUUUGUAAAGGAACAGGUGAUAAAAUUCAUUUAGCUGAAAUUCAGUGUUUCAAGGGGGUAAACAAUGCAUUGUGUCUAGGUGUUAAUGACGUACAGAAAAUUACACGUAGCCUUGUAGCUAAAUGGAUGGUCAGUGAAGAGGACACUUCUGAUCUAGUAACACUGACUGAUGUUCUGACCGAGUUGAGGAAUAACCAUAUUUUAGCCCCAGUAAAUUACCUGGAGGUUGUGACAGCUGUACUUCAGGAUGUAGGCUUAGGACUAAAUCAAAAAGCGGAAGAUUUGCUGCAGGUUCUAAGAGAUACUGUCAUUGACCACAUUGAAGCAGAUAUCCAUGAUCAAAGUAUAAAGGCUUGGGAGUCAGACAGCAAGAAAAUAGACAUUUAUGUCCUGUACUGCGAGGAUGAUUUUGGAAAAGGCUGAAAUAUUUCAACAAAACAUAUACCAACAUGUAAAUACUCGGGAUGUAAAGGUUUUUCUGAUGGAUGAUGUCGGAACUGGGAUGACAAUCUUCAAAGCCUUUGAAGAGGGAUUGAAAUCCUCAAUAUACACUUUUGUUCUAAUGACGGAAGACUUCUGUAAAGAUAAAGUGAAAACAUUUUUGGCAGAAAAUGGCUUGAUUGAACACCUGAGAACUUCUGAUAAAUUGUGGAGAAUUGUUCCUGUGUGGGUGGACCCUGGUAUAAAUGAGUCAAGAAAAUGUCCACUUGAGCUUUCUGUGCUACAAGGAUUGCACUACAAUAGGUUUUUAGAAAAUGAACAACACACCAGGUGUUUUGAACAUAUUGAAAGGCUUCUAAAAAUUGGCAGAAAAAGGGAAAUGGAGGAGGGUAUGAAAAGAGAAGUUGAGCAGCAUUACUAAGUCCUUCGAUCAUGUCUAAUUUCUUUUUCAAUGCAUGUUACUAACUGGUGUUUAAACUGCGUUAAUUUCUACAGAUUUUUAUUUUUUUUUAUUUUUUCUUAUGCAUAUAUUUACAUUUCAAAUUUUCAGCUCACCUGACGGAAGGGCAAGUGAGCUUAUGCCAUGAUGUGGCAUAACAUUUCCAUUUAAACAUCAACUUCCCAAUAACCACGAUACUCAGAGACCUAAUCUUGGGCAUGUAGCAUGCUGGGAUUAAGGGCUUUCAAUUUUGUUCAAAUAAAUAACUUUGACCUACAUUCAAAGUUACAUGGAUCAAAUAGUUAAAAAAACUUCAGACAGCAUCUUCUCAAUAACCUAGAAGCCUAGAGACUUGUUAUUGGGUUUGUAACUGGGAUAAAAGGCUACCAAGUUUGUUCAUAUGAAUGAAGUUUAUCUACAUUCCAGGUCACAGGAGACAAAAAUCUUUGACUUCUUCUCAAUAACAAAAAGACCCAGAGACCUGAUAUUGAGUCUGUAGCAUUCUGGGGUGAAUGGUAACAUGUUGUUCAAAUCAAAUCAAUGACAUUGAUCUACAUUCAGUCACAGGGGUCAAAUAGGUUAAAAUAUUUGACUUCUCAAUAACAAAUAAGCCAAUCUGAGACCUUAUAUUAGGUUUGUAACAUGCUAGGAUGAUGGGCUACCAAGUUUGUCAAAUAAGUGACAUUAGCCUUUAUUCAAUGUCAUAAGGUAAAAUAGGCUAAAAUGUUAAAAAAAACUUCCUCUCAAUAACCAAGAGGCCCAGAGACCUGAUAUUAGGCCUGUAGCAUGCUGAGUUGAUGAACUACAAAGUUUGUUCAAAUGAAUGACCUUGACCGACAUUCUAUGUCACAGGAGUUGAAAAGGCCAGAUCUUUAACUGACUUCUUCUCAAUAACCAAGUGGUGGCAGAGACCAGAUAUUGGGUCUGUAGCUUGGUGAGGUAAAGGGCUACCAAGUGUGCUCAAAUAAAUGGCCUUUACCCUCAUUCAAGGUCACAGGAGUCAAAAAGUCUAAACUAUUUCCAUGACUUCUUCCUAAUAACCAAAAGGUCCACAGACCUGAUAUUUGACAUGUAUCAUGACUGAGUGAAUGACCUUGAUCAUGAUUUAAGUUUGAAGGAGUUAAAUUGGCCAGAAUAUUUGAUAAUAAGACAUCUUUUCAAAUAACUAUGAGACCCUAGCUGAGAUUUUAUAUCUUGUCUCUGAUACUCUUGUUCUUAAUUAUGUUUAUUGUAUAGAAAGGAUCACUGGAUGGCAGGUGAGCGAUUCAGGCCCAUUGGGCCCUUGUUUUAAAACUAGAGUAAUUAAAAAAAUCAAUAUUUGUCAUUCAUCGGACAUACACACUGACGAAAUAGCAGAACAGUGAUGCAAUAUAGCAAAACAGCUGAUUCCAAUUUGACAAGAAAGGCUGUCAACUACAGGAAGUAAACAGAAUAAAGUUCUAUAAUAACAUCAACUUUUAAUUCCAGUUUUAAAAAUUUGCAUCACAUUUUAAAAUGUUAAAAUUAAAACAAAGAGCAAUCAUGCUGUAUAAUUGAUGUUAUAAUACGUACAUGUAUAUAUAUGAAUACUAUACAAGAUUUAAUUUCUGAAAUUACAAUAGUGUUAUAACAUGAAUGUCAUGUAAAGGGAGGUAACCAAACAUUAUACCUGUUGGUCUGUGCUGCAGUGUUGGUUGCAUCCUAUUUUGUUUAGCUUCAUUACUAUUAUUAUCAUUACAAUAUUAUUGAUGCUAUUAUACUAUUUAUGUAUGCUGUCCAUAAUACCACCAAAGGGAGAGGGCUUAAAUAGGCUUUUGCCUGUUGCCCAAUACCCAUUGAAUUGAUUUCAAUAAAAUCUUUGUGAAAUGAAACAUGGACAGAUACUACUAUGUGAUAAGUACUGAAUACAUUUGAUAAUCUAAAAAGUAUAUUGUUUCAUAUAGCUCUGAGCAGUAUAUUUAGCUCACUUGCCAAUAAGGGCGUGUUUAUGCUGUGGUAUAUGUGCAUUGUUUGGUAUCAACUUUUCCCAUAGCACAACUUCUCAGUAACCAAUUACAAGAGGACCUGAGACCUGAUAUUGGUCCUGUAGCAUGUAGGUCACAGGGAUCAAAUGUAUAAAUUUUUUAAAAUGUGUAUACUUUUUUUUAAUACCGAGACCCGAUUCAUGUAUGGGACCUGUAGCAUGUUGGAAUGAAUGGCUAACAAGUUUGUUGAAUAGAUGACUUUGGCAUACAUGUACCUUAUUAAGGUCUUGGCUAUGAAAUAUUAAAAAAAAAAAAAAAAUUAUUCUAAAUAAAUAAGAGAGCUAGGUUCAUAAUAUCAGCCAGCAGUAUGUCGAGUUCAAGGGCUUUAAAGUUUGUUCAAAUGAAAUCAUUUACAUGUGGACAUCAUGUAGCCUACUCUCAUAUUGAAAUGAAGAGGUAUUGAGCUUAUAGCUACAUAAAUGACAUAGAUCAACUUUAUAAUUGCGUAAGUAGCAGAUGAGAGAUACAGGACCAUUGAGUCUCAAAAAUUGCAAAAUUCAAAAUUUGAUAGGUAUAUAUUGUUUAUGCAAUUUUAUAAGUUUUCAGUCAAUUUAUCAAUAUUUGACAGUUAUCUUGUCCUUAUUCUCACUAUUACUUAUAUCUUUAUGUACUUUCUUUUCAUCUGUCGCCACCUAUUAACCGAUAUCAUUCAUUUAAAAAAAAAGACGCAUCAUUGUCUCAGAAAUGGUAGAGAAGACUAAAGCAAAAUGUGUCAUUUUAUCAAACAUAGACACAUAGACAAUUGUUGGUUGUGUAUUCCGAAAGUGUAUUCAACUGAAAUAUCAAAGAAUAAUGAAAUAAAUUCUAUUUUAUAUAA